rnacentral:rRNA from 1 species
UGGGGAAUAUUGGACAAUGGGGGCAACCCUGAUCCAGCCAUGCCGCGUGAGUGAUGAAGGCCUUCGGGUUGUAAAGCUCUUUUGGCGGGGACGAUGAUGACGGUACCCGCAGAAUAAGCCCCGGCUAACUUCGUGCCAGCAGCCGCGGUAAGACGAAGGGGGCUAGCGUUGUUCGGAAUUACUGGGCGUAAAGCGAGUGUAGGCGGUUGCCGUAGUCAGGUGUGAAAGCCUUGAGCUCAACUCAAGAAAUGCACUUGAUACUGGGUGACUAGAGGACCGGAGAGGAUAGUGGAAUUCCCAGUGUAGUGGUGAAAUACGUAGAGAUUGGGAAGAACACCAGUGGCGAAGGCGGCUAUCUGGACGGUUACUGACGCUAAGACUCGAAAGCGUGGGGAGCAAACAGGAUUAGAUACCCUGGUAGUCCACGCCGUAAACGAUGGGUGCUAGACGUUGGCGAGCUUGCUCGUCAGUGUCGCAGCUAACGCGUUAAGCACCCCC